rnacentral:rRNA from 1 species
UACAGAGGGGGCAAGCGUUAUUCGGAAUUAUUGGGCGUAAAGGGCGCGUAGGCGGCUUUUCAAGUGACGGGUGAAAUCCCUCGGCUUAACCGAGGAACUGCCUGUCAGACUGGAAGGCUUGAGACCGGGAGAGGUGAGUGGAAUUCCCAGUGUAGCGGUGAAAUGCGUAGAUAUCAGGAGGAACACCGGUGGUGUAGACGGCUUUCUGGACCGUAACUGACGCUGAGACACGAAAGCGUGGGUAGCAAACAGG